rnacentral:rRNA from 1 species
AUUAGAUACCCUAUUAUUCUAAAAAAAUAAAAUAUUUCAAAGAAAUACAUAAUAAAUUUGACGGUAUUAACCUUUACAAAGGAAUUUGUUUCUUAAUCGAAAAUACACGAAUACCUUACUUAAUUCCUUUUUGUAUACCACCGUAAAGAAAUUAUUCUAAAUUAAUUUCAUAAAAAAUAAUCUUAUUAUAUCAGGUCAAGGUGCAAUUAAUUAAGACGAAAUGAAUUACAUUCUAAUAUAUACCUAUAAGAAAUGAAAUUUUCUUAAAAAAAGAAUUUGUUAGUAAAACUAAAUUAUAAUGUUUUUUUGAAAAAACACAUUAAUAUGUACACAUCGCCCGUCGCUCUU